rnacentral:rRNA from 1 species
AGCGAACGCUGGCGGCAGGCCUAACACAUGCAAGUCGAACGGACCCUUCGGGGUUAGUGGCGGACGGGUGAGUAACACGUGGGAACGUGCCUUUAGGUUCGGAAUAGCUCCUGGAAAACGGGUGGUAAUGCCGAAUGUGCCCUUCGGGGGAAAGAUUUAUCGCCUUUAGAGCGGCCCGCGUCUGAUUAGCUAGUUGGUGAGGUAAUGGCUCACCAAGGCGACGAUCAGUAGCUGGUCUGAGAGGAUGACCAGCCACACUGGGACUGAGACACGGCCCAGACUCCUACGGGAGGCAGCAGUGGGGAAUCUUGCGCAAUGGGCGAAAGCCUGACGCAGCCAUGCCGCGUGAAUGAUGAAGGUCUUAGGAUUGUAAAAAUUCUUUCACCGGGGACGAUAAUGACGGUAACCCGGAGAAGAAGCCCCGGCUAACUUCGUGCCAGCAGCCGCGGUAAG